GGUCCCGAGCCCGCCGGAGCGCACCCGCGGGUGCUGCUCACAGCGACGCCGCCAAAAGGGUGUUUGACCGGGAGCCCAGAGCGCCAGGAGUCGUGACGGCGCGCGGGUGCGCUCCCGAGCGCAUCUCCGUGACCAUCUCCCCAGUGCUCCCGACUUUUCUUUUUCCCACCCUCCCGACGCCUCGGCGCUUUUACGUCUUCCCUCCGUCGCGGCGUGGACUCGGUUGUUUGAGCAGCGGCAUGGCCGUGGUGUUUUUCCUUUCUCGCGGCGAGGCACGGGGCUGCGGGCUGGAGGCGCAGCGCUGCCCGAGCUUCCAGGGAUGGAUGCGCACGGAGAAACUGAUCCUGCCGCUCCGGGAGGGUGAAGCCGCUCGGGCUGAAGCCUGGCCCUGAGAAAGGAGAGCUGUGACUGUGUGUGCGCUACGGGGCUGCAUUAGGGUCUGACUUGCGCUGUCCCGUUUCCAUAUACAAUUCCCCCCUCCCCCGCUCGGAACUGCUAACACGUGGGGUGCCUGGCUGUUCACGAGAGCUAAGUUUUUUGCACAUCAGCACAUUUCUUUUUACUAUAGAGUUUUGGAUACCUAUUUAGCAAAUGCUUAGAGGCCAAGCUGCCAGGAAUCUAGCUCUUCUCAGAGACAGUGGGAGGAAUAUUUUAGUAAAGACUAUGCCCUGAGUGGGAGAACUCUCAGCCAAAAAGAUGUGCUCUGAGUCACGGGUAAAGGCAGUGGAGCUCACAAGUCACCGUCUGGAGCAGGAUCCCGGCAUUUCCCGGCCUUUGCUGAAGGAUGGAGCACCUUGGGUGACCUGACUUGCUCUCCUUGCAGCGGAACUGACACCACAGUCACUAAGCACAGACCGGGCAGCAAGCUCACUUAAUCCUCCCCAGCGAACACAUGAGCCACAGUUUGCCUUUCAGUCUGUAAAUUGUUCUUUUGUUUUGCAGGCUUUAGUGAACACAGUUUUAUUUCAUGUGACUGUGCUAUUUAUGGAGGAGUAAAUAUUGCCGGGGGUCUAUUUAAAAAGGCCAAUGACCUGGAUUUUUUUUUCCAUUUGAAUUAUCUCCAGGAGUCAGACAUGUUUAACAACUGAUUCCCCCCCCACCUUGUUUCUGUAGACUGCAAUAAUUUCUAACAUCUUAGAUCAACACCAACUAAAAAGACAAAGAUUUUGAGUGAAAUAAAACUUCAUGUAGUACGAAUGUGAUCAGACAGUGUGUGACCUUGCCAUUUUUGGAAGAGCUGAAUUCCAUCCUGAUUUACCAGCUAACAACAUAGCAUGUUUUUAGCCUCUGAAUAUAAGCCUUUUUGUACUGUUGUAGUAAUUUGAAUUCAUGACUCUGGUUUGUUCCUUUUAUUGUUGUUUUUACAAAACCAAUUAUAAAGCGCGUUUUCACAAAUUUCAAGUAAAUAAACAAGCCAUGUUUUCAGAAAGGGAAGAUUUAAACAGGCAAAUGUUCUUCCUGCUGUUCCUGCAAUCUAAAUAGCAGUAUCCCUUUGCUAUUUAAGAAAGUUGAACAUGGCAGGGGAAAUAGUGCUAUAUUUACACUUUCAAGAAAGAGCUUUGUGAAUACAAACAGGUAGCCAAGUAUCUGGAAUAUGAAAUAGAUUUGAAUAUUCUUACAAGUCAAGGCAACCACAUAUUUUUAAAUAUAUUUAUUUUCUUAACACUAUACAAUGAGUUGUUCACCAUAGUAUAGCGGGCUUCAACCUGAAAUUUUGCUGUAGACAUAUUUAUCUUUACCCAGUCGUAUAAAAGUAUGAAAAGAUAGAAUUUUUAUAUUGAAUGCUAUUCCAUAUAUGUUCUAGGGUUCUGUGAUGUUUACCAUGUCAUUAAAAGGCACCCUGGCUUCAGUGCAAAGCUAGCUUCAGAAGUAACAACCCUCUUUUCCCCUGGAGAGGUGGAGCAGGUGGACAGGGAUGGGAUUCCCUCAGGCUGGUCUUACUACCAUCACACCUGAUUGGAUUUCUUCAAAAUUUCAUCUUGGAAGGAGCAUACAGGACAACACAUAAUUCAGUGCUCUGAUGGUGUAAACAAUGAGCACAUCUUCAGUAUUAUUCUGGCUUGAACCACACCAGGGAGUAGCCAUGCUGCACAAACUGCCCCGUAUAUAUGCACACAUUUGUGUGUGUGUGUAUAUGUAUGUGUGUAUAUACAUAUAUACACAUUUACAUAUGCAAGUUCUACCAGUUCUGCUUAACCCUUUGGGAAAAUGCUAAGAAGGAAUGGCAAAUCUUGCCCUGUUGAUGUCUUAGAAGAGACAGUUAGUUCAAGGUAUGGAGAAAAGUAUUCCACAUAGCUAUUUGAUAUUUCUUCAAAUGAAAAAAAAACCUGAUUAGUUGGAAAAGAUUAUUUACAGACCAAAAAGCCUUUCUUUAAGGUUUUCCACUGAAGCCCACCACUUAUUACUUCAACCUUCUAAUUUUUAGUGGCCCUUUUCAAACAUUGGAGUUUACCAGCAGGUUAUUUCACACAUUAAAAGGAUGUUGUCUUCCUUAAGUAAAAAUUGCUACUGUGAUAUGAACUGCAGUCAGUGACACCUACAGCCUCCACUAAGAUGAGAACUAGAAGUGCUGUUUCAUUCUCAGUUGUAACAUGUCUUCAGUUCCUGUUUGUAUUACCUAACAAGAGUUUUCAGAUUCUAACUCAAGUCAUGUUUUAAAAAUAAAUUAGCUAAAACUUUAAUUAGCCAGCACUGGUCAGAGCGGAUCACAGUAAAUGCAUAUGCUACUUGGUCUGUCUCUUUGUUAAAAAAGUUGGCAACUUAUAAGAAAAGAAAAAAUUCAAAUUAUUUUCUGUUUUAACAGACCUCAGAAUUCUCUGUGGUGAAGCAGAAUAAUUGCAGUAUAACUGAGCACCUGCUAGUUCCUUUCUAGAUUAUUAAAUUAUAUGCAUGUUCUCAUACAGGAGUAUCUCAGAUUCCCCUUUCCUUAAAGGCAAGAAAAAUACACUUUUCCUUGCCUUUAAAAACUGGUGGCCUGAUUAUUCUCUCCUCUAGUUUUUGGGGACCACAGAACCACCAAACUCAUCAAAUCUACAUUGACAUAAAAUGUACUGAUUCAUGUCAUUAAGGAAAAACUCUCAAAUUAACCCAAAAGUCAAAUUUUAUAAUUUAAAACUUAGGCUUCCAUUUUCAGAAAUUAUUUUUUUUUUAAAUAUUAAGUUUUCCUUGAAAAAAUUACAUUGAAGUGGGGAAAGUAAAGCUUGGCAGGCAGCAGAAGUAUGAGCUGAUGUCUAAGUAAAGCUCAAUGCUAUUCUAAGAGGAUCAGUUCUAAACUGAUUUCUAUAGUUUCUAUAGUUAAAAAUAUCUUCCAGUUUUAUUCAGUACAGGCACAGUCAACUAUCUUUUUUCUUGAUCACCCUAAUGGGUAGAAGAUGGGAUAUCUUCUUGAUAAUUUUUAUUAAUAUUCACCACAUUUCCAAAGUAAUGCAGACAAAUUGGUACUUUAUAUAACUAACCUUAUAUAUUUGAUUUCUGUGGUUCAUAUCUCUGAAUAUUUGUUCCAGAUAAAAAAAUAUUUUCUGUCGUCCAUAAUUUUUACCAGAGAUUUCAGAGUUCCUGGCUUUUUGAGAUAGAAAUGUCUCUGCUGUAAUCCAGUGCUGAAUGUAUUGCUGUCUACACAUGUAAUUACUAAACACUACAAAACUAUUUUGACUGAAAUGUCUUUAGCAUUUUCUUUCCCUGUCCAGCAGGGCAGUGGGGAUUUCAAAAGCUUUUGUUUUUGUGG